AGUGAACGCUGGCGGUAGGCCUAACACAUGCAAGUCGAACGGCAGCACAGUAAGAGGUUGCUCUUACGGGUGGCGAGUGGCGGACGGGUGAGGAAUACAUCGGAAUCUACUUUUUCGUGGGGGAUAACGUAGGGAAACUUACGCUAAUACCGCAUACGACCUACGGGUGAAAGCAGGGGAUCUUCGGACCUUGCGCGAUUGAAUGAGCCGAUGUCGGAUUAGCUAGUUGGCGGGGUAAAGGCCCACCAAGGCGACGAUCCGUAGCUGGUCUGAGAGGAUGAUCAGCCACACUGGAACUGAGACACGGUCCAGACUCCUACGGGAGGCAGCAGUGGGGAAUAUUGGACAAUGGGCGCAAGCCUGAUCCAGCCAUACCGCGUGGGUGAAGAAGGCCUUCGGGUUGUAAAGCCCUUUUGUUGGGAAAGAAAAGCAGCAGGUUAAUACCCCGCCGUUCUGACGGUACCCAAAGAAUAAGCACCGGCUAACUUCGUG
rnacentral:rRNA from 1 species